UGUGAUCAUUGUGGUCGUUCGAAUCAUGAGUCUGAUAAGUGUUGGAAGAAGUUUGGCAAACCAGAUUGGGCUAAUAACAUUGAGUUUGCUGCGCCAAGUUCUUCAUCUACUACUACUGAUGCCUCUACCUCUGUAGCUGCGUUUUCUGUGUCUCCUGGACCUGCAGACGAAGAGGACGAUUGGUGGAGGACAUGAGCGUGGCGGUCUGUACUACUUGGAUAAUGUUUCACCUGUCUCUCCUAGUGCUCUCUCUGCUGCUGUGUCUCCAUAUCAGUGGCAUUGUCGUCUUGGUCAUCCGUCUUCUGCUAGUCUUCGUAGUUUAGUUCCAGUUGCGUCUGUUGAUUUUAAUUGUGAGUCAUGUGAGUUGGGCAAACACCAUCGCACUUCCUUUCCUUCUCGAGUCGAGACUCGUAGCUCUUCUAUUUUUGAUUUAGUUCAUUGUGAUGUUUGGGGUCCGAGUAGGAUUGAGUCCAGAGGGGGUUUCAAGUAUUUUCUAAUUCUUGUUGAUGAUUAUUCCCGUAUGUCAUGGUUGUAUUUGCUUAAACACAGAAGUGAAGUCCCUACUGUUCUAAAAUCUUUUUAUCAUGAAAUAAAGACCCAAUAUUCUGUUGA